rnacentral:misc_RNA from 1 species
GUUGGUGAACCAGCGGAGGGAUCAUUACCGAGUCUACAACUCCCAAACCCAAUGUGAACGUUACCAAACUGUUGCCUCGGCGGGGUCACGCCCCGGGUGCGUAAAAGCCCCGGAACCGGGCGCCCGCCGGAGGAACCAACCAAACUCUUUCUGUAGUCCCCUCGCGGACGUAUUUCUUACAGCUCUGAGCAAAAAUUCAAAAUGAAUCAAAACUUUCAACAACGGAUCUCUUGGUUCUG